UGCAAAUUAUGUUUUUCUCAUGAUGGUCUUCCAAGCCUUCUGGUUAUGACGACAAUGCCUUAUGGCAUUACUGAUGCAAUGAC
rfam:Salmo salar isolate Sally breed double haploid chromosome ssa06, whole genome shotgun sequence.